CUGGGACUUUAUCUCCGGUUGCAUGCCAUCAUUUAGAUGUACUCGGUAAACGAAUCCCAAAUAUCAAUUGAAACAUCUUGCAGAAGGGUUAAGACCAAUUAUUUCUACGUUUUAACAAUCCUUUUGAAGAUGUUUUACAUCA
rnacentral:snoRNA from 1 species